rnacentral:rRNA from 1 species
CGGCGGACGGGUGAGUAACACGUGGAUAACCUACCUAUAAGACUGGGAUAACUUCGGGAAACCGGAGCUAAUACCGGAUAAUAUUUUGAACCGCAUGGUUCAAAGUAAAAGACGGUCUUGCUGUCACUCAUAGAUGGAUCCGCGCUGCAUUAGCUAGUUGGUAAGGUAACGGCUUACCAGGGCAACGAUGCAUAGCCGACCUGAGAGGGUGAUCGGCCACACUGGAACUGAGACACGGUCCAG